AUGGACUGGUCUCAUCCAGAGCACUUUAAAGAAACUGAUAAGCUCUAUCUCAUUUAACUUGGCCUUUGGAAGAUGCUUGUGGAAACUUCUGCAAAGGAGGUGACAUCAGUUGUUGUCACAGCUGCUGUAGAGAAGAGAGUUGCUGCUGCUGAGUCUUUCUGGUCUUACUGCUAGUAACUGUCUCCUUUUCAGGGACUUUCUGACAGAAAUGCCAUGAAGAAGUGAGUCAGUAAAAUAUUUGCCAAAGCUUCCCUAAAUACCAUCUAUCUCAUGACUUUACAUUUCCUGUGAAGGAGGAACUCUGUGGCAUCCCAGUGUAAUGGAAAGGACGUGGACGCUGUGCUAACACUUAUCUCUUCACCCCUCACGAGCAGACCCUACAGUGACCUUACUGUUGGCUGAUUCCAGAGAGCCAACUCAUUAUUCUGAAUUGAAAUUUCUCCAUCUCCAAAAUCAGAGUUCUCAUGAACUUUCAGCUAUGAAUCCAUAUGGGAAUAAUUUCUUUGUGAGAAGGCGGCUUCCAUUCUAUCCUGAAAAAAAAACUGCAUGAAAAUCACAGAAAGCUACAGAAGAAAGUACCAGUCAUUGUUUGAAAGCAUUGUGGCCUAUGGAGAUGGAAAACAGAACAUGGAUUUGCCCCCAAAUUUUAUAAGCUUCUAGAAACAUGAAUGAAUGAGAAACAAAUACAAAAAUUUGCUUAGAAAGAAAUAAAUCUUAAAACUUUGUUGCUUUUAUGAUGAACAGACCUGGCAAAAAGGAUGUUAAUUACCUUGAAUAUCAGUGUUUAAUCAGAUAGUGCUAUUCCCAGUAUUUUUUGGUUUCCACCUAGAUUAAUGUUACUGCUCAGUUGUUAACAAUGAAGUUAUCAGCCACAGGAACAAAUGAUGAAGAGGAGGAGCAAGCUUACCAUUUCUUGGAGU